UAUAUACUCCCACCGAUCCUAAUUAAUUGUCGACAUAUUAUAUGUAUCUAGACAUAUUUUAGGCAUAGAUACAUCCAUAUUUGGGCAAAUUUGAGACAAUUAAUAUGGAUCGGAGGGAGUAGUAA
rfam:Brachypodium distachyon strain Bd21 chromosome 5, whole genome shotgun sequence.